rnacentral:lncRNA from 1 species
GGGUUGAUGCCGUGAGGGAAAGAAAGGGUGAAACACCUCGUGUUGAACCACAUCUUCGGCGUCGCUCCGACCGGCAGUCAGGGGCAGGGUGCUUCGUCGUGGCAUGGCACGAGUGUCUGUAGCACCGGUCGAUGGUAGGCGGCUUCGGUGAUCGCGGAAUUUCUCACCAGCGCAAUAUUUCUCCGUGGGACCACAUCGCGUCGUGAACAACACCGCGGGGACCUCGUGCUUCGGUAAUGCCCUCGGAUCGACUCUAUACCUCCUCUGCAUUGUUUAGCACCUGGUUACGCUUUGAAUCGAGCCCGGGCGUGACCAUUGGGCGCUCCCCGAUGAUGGCGCCGCCGUGGGCGGAAUCCGACUGACGUGGGGCGCGGUCGGGCGAGGGAGACGUGUCCCUAGGCGUCAAUCAAGGCUUCAACGACCGAGAUUAGAAGAUCGUAUAAUGUUUCACCUGGUUGAUCAUGAACCGUUGAUCCACAGAUGGACGUAGGACGUUAGAUCGAGGCACUUUAAAAUCUGCACCAUAGAUCUCGGGAUCAACGGCUGUGGUGCGUACCGUUUCGUUAUAAGAUCGACCUAAUCUGAGCCAUAGGAUAUUAAUCCUACGACCGUAGGCAGGUACGGUGCAAUAAGAUUGUGAGAUCUAAUAUGUGGCAUCUAUUUCGGAUCCAACGACUUAUCUUCGCCAAUACCCCUUCGCCCGGCAGGUUUUUGCAUAGGUGACCCCUUGUUUUUAGCGAAUUAACCCGCCGUCCACAAUCACUGUUAAAUAAUUACAACUGCACCCUGGAAUUUGUAGAUUAAACCUUGAGCUCUCUAGUAAUCAUGUCCGCGGCCCAGAACUUUCAGUUUAAUAAUAAAAUUAAUUAUAAAAUGAUUUAUAAUAUAGAAAUAAUUUCAUAAACUUGUUUAAUUCAUCUUAACUCUUUUUUGAGCCAUUCCAGUGGCAUUAAAUCCAUAAUUAUAUUGUUUAUCCCCUGGUAACUUUAUUUUGUUAUGAAACAUAAAUUAAAAUUAUGUACGUAAUUUCUUUUGUACCCAACUAUUAAAUUUUUGGAAAAUCAUAACUUUAUAACCGUAACUCCAAAUUUAGUGGUUCUCGAACCUGCGAUCUAGUUACGACACGUAGAACAUUAUUACACAGUUUGUUUUUAUGUUUGGUGUGAUGUUAAUUUUGCCUACACCAUAUUUGUUUGUAUUGCUACGAUUAGCAUCGAGGUCAUGAGAAUCUGAAGAUCAUCCUAGUACCUGGAAUCUCGAGCCUCAAGCAAGUUGUGCCCUUGAUCACUUUUCUUUACCCAAUAAUGUUCCUGCUAAUCACUGUGACAUGCUUAGGUUAAUCUGAUAGGACCUAAUAGGUUUUUCUAGACUUGUUUAUCCCACACCUUGUUUACCACUGAACCUUUGGGUAGUUUUGCUAUUGCUCUACCUGGUUUUGGGAUUAAUAUUACAUUAUGAUCAUGUUCCAGUUAUACUAUUGUUUUAAUUAUUGUUCAUGACAAGAUCAUUGUGUUAAUUGGAACAUGGAGCUUAACUUGAGAUAUCUGUGCUACCACAAGGGUGGAAUUGGACGCCCUUGGCUGACUAAUUAGGAAAGCUAGUGGAGGACUACCUUACCCGAAAGGGGCAAGGGUAGUAGGGGAGUUGUCGGUAUAGGGAGGUUCUCGGUUUGAUCAUGCUGCGAUGGCUUUUCGGACGGAGGAUUCCUAUAUUGCGCUCUCUAGAAACUGUAGCGGGUUUUCUGAAGCUAGUGGAACUUCGUAAAGGCCUCGUAGUGGAUCCCUAGCCAUUCACCUCGGAAGUGUCUAAGGGUCUAGCUAACCUUGGCUAGGCGAGAUACACGACUUGUGGGUAAAGGGCGCAACCUCUGUAGAUUGUAAAACUGGUAUAUCAACUGUGCUCGCGGUCAUGAGCAGAUCAUGACUCUCGCAUGAUUAAUUUAUGGAACUAAACUUAAUUUUUCAUAUGCAUUGCAUUGUGGGUGUUGUUAUUAAUUUGAUCUCUUACUUAUUUGGGUUGAUAUCUACUUAUACUUAGUAACUGCUAACAAAACUUUGACCAACUCUAAAAGCAAUGCAAAGCUUUAACCAUCUCCUUUGGUAAGCCUUACACUUCACAUGAGCUCCCACCUUUGGUGAGUUCAUGCACAUUAUUCCGCACAACUUGUUGAGCGAUGAACGUAUGUGAGCUCACCCUUGUUGUACUCACACCCCCUGGUCAAGGACAUGUACCACAAGAUGAGGCGCAUGAAGGAUGUUGUGAUGGGUUCAUGAGUGGUCUAGGUCGUCGUCUCCCAGUCAACUAUGGUUGUUGGAUUGAUGUCUUCGUAUGAUGUAAUUAUUUAUUUAUUUUGUACGAAACUCCUAUUAUAUAGUAAAGAUGUGACAUUCAUUUCUAUACCAUGAGUCAUCAUAUGUGUGAGACUUGAUCCUAGCAUACUUGGUGAUUAUUUCGCGCCCGGGUUUUGGCCCCUAAAACCCGGGUGUGACAGAAGUGGUAUCAGAGGAAUGUUGACUGUAGGACAAAACCUAGAUAGAAUUGUACAACCCUUACUUAGUUACCUUUGCUACUUUGAUUCUUUCUAAACUUUUAUUAAUCUUUUCUCAUCUAUUGCUGCUUUACUCUGAUUACUCUUACUUUUUCACUUCUAAAGACAAAAGUGGAUUUCACACUUUGAAAUUCGGUACCUAAAGCGACUUUUAGGAAUAGGAAACCUAAUCUUAGGAACCCAAUCAAAACUAUUUUUGUAAGUAUGUAUAUCCUUGACUGUUUGUUCUUAUGAUAACUGCCUGAUUCGGAUUUUGAUUGAGUGUGAUGAGUUGUGGAGUAAUAUCCACAAUUGCAUCUCCAUAUACACCUAGGCAUAAAAAAUGUUUAUAAAAUAACUAGACAACCUAAAUUAUCUCCCAUUAAAAUAUAUCUAGUAUCACAUAUCUAUCUUAUCUUAGCAGAUUCUAUCUUAUCCUUGGAGAUUCAUCUUAUAAGCAUAGCCAACCUGACAUAGACACAAAACAACAGAAUCAAGCUCUGCUUAAGAUCCUCCAGUUUAUGACCAACUACUAGGCUAUCUAUACUGCCUACUAAAUUAUUCCUCUUACAAAACAAUCUUACCAUAUAUUUCUAACCCAGAUGGUCAAUACCAGGAAGGGAGGCAAUAUCGAUCUACCUGCUAACAACCGUCGUAGGAUGAUUGUUAACCAACCACAACCAGAGAUGAAUCCUCCACCGAACCCUCCACCGCCUGGAACAGAUCCCGUUGCCAUCGCUCAGAUGCAGCUGCUGUGGCAAAUGGCAAACACCAUGAUGGAAAUGCAAGCGCAAAUGCGACAAGAACGUCAGGAGAUGUGCCAGGAAUGACAGGAAAUACGACAGGAAAUGAGGCAAGAACGCCAGGAAAUACGCCAAGUACGGCAGGAACAACAACAACUACCACCUCCACCACCACCAGCUCCGCCCAGGGAUAAGCAUCGAGAGUUUAUGAGUCACAAGCCCCCGACAUUCUCUAACUCCUCGGACCCACUACAAGUUGAUGUCUGGUUAAAGUUCAUGGAUAAGAUGCUCAACAUAGCUCAGUGCUCUGACCAGGAGAAAGUACUCUAUGCUUACUGGCCCCGCUGCGGAUUGGUGGGAUGCAUAUUACGUUGUUCACGCUAUUGCCAACACCAUCACCUGGGCAGAAUUCUCCACUCAAUUUAGGAAUUAUCACAUUCCUGUUGGCCUUAUGAAAAUUAAAAAGAAAGAGUUCCUAUCCCUCAAACAGGGAGGGAUGUCAGUAAGCGAAUACAGAGACAAUUCAUCCAGCUAUCCCAAUAUGCUGGAUAUAUUUAUGAUGUCAGCAGCCUUGGGAGCUCCUUUGAUUAGAGAUAUUCUGGAUAUAUUUAUGAUGAUGAUUUAGUCAUGAUGAUUAUAAUGAUGGAUUCUUAUAUUUCCUCUUGAAGGGAGUACUUUUUAGGUUAAUAACUUGGGGGUUAUUGCUAAAACUUGGCCCUCUACUAGUAAUAAAUACCUGACCAACUAAAAGCAAAUGCUUUGAGCUUCCCCCACAUACAGCUAGUCCACUUUAGUCAAAUGGGACAUUUGCUGAGUACCUUGAUGUGUACUCACCCUUGCUUAAACACCAAACACCAGGUUGUCCCCAUUGCAACCCUUGCUCAGGAGAAGAUGAAGGCAAUAUGUUGGACUUUCAGGACUUCGAUGAAUUCUAGAGUAGAUUAGUGGCAAACCCCCAGUCAGCUGCCUAUGAAGGCCUUAUCGUACUACGUUUCGUUCAGCACUUUGAUUUUAUGUUUAAGUUAAUGACUAUGUGGAUGUUUCAGACAUCAUGAUGUAAUAAAGUACUACUUUCCGCUAUUAUUUGAACAUUGUGUGAUGAUGUCCAAUUAUGUAAUCUAUGUGUAUGUGAAUUUCUGAUCCUUGCACGUACAUGGUUCCCAUUCGUUUUGCCUUCCAAAACCGGGUG